CUGUAUUUUUCUCCGCUAAGACCGGCUACCCUACUUUCAUUUUCCUUUCACUCUUCUUGGUUCUUUUGGGCCUUUUAGGAAUUUGGGAUGAUUCAGGCUCUGACAGGCAUGUGCAUACAUAGAGAUGUGAAGCCAGAAAAUAUCCUCAUCACAAAACAUUCCGUGAUUAAGCUUUGUGACUUUGGAUUUGCUCGGCUUUUGACUGGACCGAGUGACUACUAUACAGACUACGUGGCUACCAGGUGGUACCGCUCCCCUGAGCUGUUGGUGGGGGACACGCAGUACGGCCCCCCGGUGGAUGUUUGGGCAAUUGGCUGUGUCUUUGCUGAGCUGCUGUCAGGAGUGCCUCUGUGGCCAGGAAAAUCGGAUGUGGAUCAGCUGUAUCUGAUUAGGAAGACCUUGGGGGAUCUCAUUCCUAGGCACCAGCAAAUGUUUAGCACGAAUCAGUACUUCAGUGGAGUGAAAAUUCCAGACCCUGAAGAUAUGG
rnacentral:sRNA from 1 species